CCAGACUCCUACGGGAGGCAGCAGUGGGGAAUAUUGGGCAAUGGGCGCAAGCCUGACCCAGCAACGCCGCGUGAAGGAAGAAGGCUUUCGGGUUGUAAACUUCUUUUAAGAGGGAAGAGAAGAAGACGGUACCUCUUGAAUAAGCCACGGCUAACUACGUGCCAGCAGCCGCGGUAAUACGUAGGUGGCAAGCGUUGUCCGGAUUUACUGGGUGUAAAGGGUGCGUAGGCGGAUCGUUAAGUCAGUGGUCAAAGGGGGGGCCCCCACCCCUGCCCGCCAUUGAAACUGGCGCUCUUGAGUGGAAGAGAAGUAUGCGGAAUGCGUGGUGUAGCGGUGAAAUGCAUAGAUAUCACGCAGAACCCCGAUUGCGAAGGCAGCAUGCCGGCUUCCGACUGACGCUGAAGCACGAAAGCGUGGGGAUCGAACAGGAUUAGAUACCCGCGUAGCA
rnacentral:rRNA from 1 species